GACGAACGCUGGCGGCGUGCCUAAUACAUGCAAGUCGAACGCAUUUUCUUUCACCGUAGCUUGCUACACCGAAAGAAAAUGAGUGGCGAACGGGUGAGUAACACGUGGGUAACCUGCCCAUCAGCGGGGGAUAACACUUGGAAACAGGUGCUAAUACCGCAUAAUUCCAUUUACCGCAUGGUAGAUGGGUGAAAGGCGCUUUUGCGUCACUGAUGGAUGGACCCGCGGUGCAUUAGCUAGUUGGUGGGGUAACGGCCUACCAAGGCUGCGAUGCAUAGCCGACCUGAGAGGGUGAUCGGCCACACUUGGACUGAGACACGGCCCAGACUCCUACGGGAGGCAGCAGUAGGGAAUCUUCGGCAAUGGACGCAAGUCUGACCGAGCAACGCCGCGUGAGUGAAGAAGGUUUUCGGAUCGUAAAACUCUGUUGUUAGAGAAGAACAAGGAUGAGAGUGGAAAGUUCAUCCCUUGACGGUAUCUAACCAGAAAGCCACGGCUAACUACGUG
rnacentral:rRNA from 1 species